UACAGAGGGGGCAAGCGUUGCUCGGAAUUACUGGGCGUAAAGGGUGCGUAGGCGGGUCUUUAAGGCAGAGGUGAAAUCCUGGAGCUCAACUCCAGAACUGCCUUUGAUACUGAGGAUCUUGAGUUCGGGAGAGGUGAGUGGAACUGCGAGUGUAGAGGUGAAAUUCGUAGAUAUUCGCAAGAACACCAGUGGCGAAGGCGGCUCACUGGCCCGAUACUGACGCUGAGGCACGAAAGCGUGGGGAGCAAACAGG
rnacentral:rRNA from 1 species